CACGGGACUGAUAUUCUUUCUUGCAGGCUCCUGAGGUGCGAGAAGAAAUGUGUGGAAACUAGUCACUUUGGGUGUCCAAGCGGGAGUUCGUAAAGAUCCAAUAAGUGGUGCUUAAUGAGCCGUUGUGAUGUCAAAGCCCAGCCCCUUCAAGGAAAUACAUUUUAGAACGUUUUAAAACCAGAGGAAAUAGGAUACGGCAUAAAAAAGGAGAUACCUCCCACUCCGGCCAAGAACAAUGGGGUGGACCAGUUCUGAAGAACGGUAGAUAGCAUAUUCAUUUAUAAAGGGUUCUCAAACCACAAAUGCCCUGGCCAUCAAGAACUGAGCGGACCAGUUACAACAAGCAAAUUAUAAGACAUCAAACUGGACACAUUUCACUAAAUUUCAAACUGGUUAAAAUGAAUAAAGCAGGAGUGUGGAUUACAGCACUGCGAGCAGCUAUACAUGCCCUUUUCUUCUAUGACAGGCAUGGCACCCCAACCUAUAGCCUUCAGCGGCAUACAGUAGUCUAACCUGUUUAACUGUAUCCUCACUGAAUAUCUUCCUUCAAUCCUUAACCUUAAUAAAAGCUCUGACUGUAAACUAUCAAACGGCAGUCAGUCACACAGUUCCUCAUAGCUAAGAGCCAUCCAUGACUCAGCUCAGAGUUAUGAUGUCACAACAUUGGUGGAAGGAUAUACACGUGCAAAAUGUGAAGUACUGUAUGUAUUGUUAAAAGAUAAAUAAAUCCAAUAGUUAUUAUCCACAUAUACUGUACAUG